GAGGGACGAGGAGGCAAGAGGAGAGAGAGAGCAAGUUUCUUGCCUGCACCUAAGGAGAGGGUCAAUACACCAGGGCAAGAGGGAAAAAGGGAAAACAUGAAGGAACACAGGCAGAUGGAAAAAGAAAUUUAUGAAAGAAGAGUCUUUGAUGCUACAUUAUGUCCCAGCCUGAACUCACCCUCCACACGCGCCUGCCCAAGUAUGAGAAGAUCUCCAAGGUAACUUUCCUACAGAAAAUGGCUGUGUCUCUAUCUGAAGCCCAAAUGUUCAAGCACACACUCCUUUAAUUCCCCUUUAUGUUCAGUUCCCUUCCUGAUGUUGCAUAUUCCACAAAAGAGGUUUUCUAUUCUAUCACCAUCUCAGCCUCUGGGAGGUUCUCCAGGAAUCUGUCUGGAAACCAGGACUUGGAGUUUAUCAGAAAGAAACUGGCAUCAGCUUAGAAAACCAGCAAGGCAAGUGGAAUGAGAAUGAGGGUGGGUUAGAGAUUCACCCCUUCCAAAGAGAGAAUAGAUUCCACUCCAUUGCCCCAUAGAGUUUUUUAAGGACAUACAGUCCAGGAAGCCUCUCCUCUCAGGACAGGCUUGGAACAAUUCUGGGAGCAGGUAGCCUUGGCACACGAAUGAAAUGAGGAUGCAUGACUGGGGCCCAGGCCAAAGGGACACUGCUGUCCAGGGAUUGACAAAUGGGGCCCCCAAUAACACCUGGGAUGCCCACGAGCACCUUCAAUGAUAAACUAACUCAUGUAGACAGAACACUUACAUGCUGUGAUCUGUCCAAGUGCAUCAUACAUAUCUACUAAAAAUCCAUAUAAUAAUCCUGAGAGUGAGGGGCUACUAUAAUCUCCGUUGCACAGAUCAGAAAACUGGGGGUCAGAGAGGUUAAGUAACUUGCCCAAGGCCACACAGCUUGCAAGGGGGCAGAGCUGAGAUUUAAACUCAGACAGGGUGGUUCCAGCUACACAAUCAAUCAUUACAGGAUAUUGCUUAUCCUGACACCACCUUCCAUAACUGAGUUACAGGAAAUUUACCCUUCUGGUCAAUUUUCAUAGCUGGACCCAGGACCUCCACAAGGCUCAUUGAUCAUUGUUUAGUUUUAAAGUAUUUUAUUGUUUAAUGUUUUUAUAAAAAGAUACUUUAGAAUUUGCAGUUACCACUGUCUGUAAGAAGCUUUGGCUUUGAUAUUUUCCUGUGUUCUACUUUCCACAUACCACAUACAUUUCUGCAUUGCACACACAUUGCAGCCUGGCCGGGGGUACUGAGCUCUUGCCACUCAGGGAGCUGGGAGGCUGAGAGGCAUCUUCCUCACCGAGGGAAGGGACCAGCAGUGUGAGUCUCUCUGCACUCUCUUGGUGGGUGGUGAGGGUAGACAUUUCCUUGCGGCAAUAAGAUGCAGCUUCCUGAGCUCCAGGCAGCAGAAAUCCCCCGCAGACCCUGUGCCGGGUCAGUUUUCCCAGGUCCUAAUGUUUCAGGGCAUGGCUGUGGGAGGAGGGCACGAAGGAUGAGUCCAGCACCAGCAAUCCUCUGAGAAGCAUCCUCCUACUUCCACUCUGUGCACAUCUCAGACUGAGCUCCUCCUGGCCAGCCGUGGGUCUGGUGCCUCUCUGCAUUCCCAGUGUGGUGAAGGGGUUCAAGGAAGCCAAGUGGGACCAUCCAAGACAGAAAGAAUGCUGGGGACAGGACAUUAGCUCAGACCCUUUAUGUCCCCUGAGUACCCUCUCCAUGCCAGCACCGUGAUUUCACACACAUGCAGGGGUGCCAAAGAGAGCUCAGGGUCCCCAGGGCGCCCCAGGCAUUCCCUGAACACCCUCCAAUCCUCCACUCCAGGAAAGACUUUCCCCACCAGGGAAGGGCAUCCUACACUGUUCCCAGCCAGGUCCCCUUCCUGGCAGGCAGUAAUUCAAGAAUCAUCAAGGCAGAAUGUCAGUGGUUCCCACCAUUCCCUCUCCUCCUCCCUGACCUUCUCCCCAACACAGGAAAAAGACAGGAAGAAAAGGUAGACACCAAUCUCUGAAUUCUAAACAUCAGGACUCAAUGUGCCCAUCUCUGUGGCUUACACAGGGCACCCAGUCUUUAUGUCACCAAGUGAGUUUCCUCAGUCUGUGUGCACAGCCUCAUACCUGGCUGGAUAGAACCAGAGAUGCAAAGUAGAAAAGCAUAGGCUCUGGAGCUUCUAUCCUCAAGAAGUUGCUCAUCUAUCCAUCCAUCCAUCCACUCAUCCAUCCAUCCAUCCAUCCAUCCAUCCAUCCAUCCAUCCACCCAUCCAUCCACCCACUCAUCCAUCCAUCCAUCCCUCCAUCCAUCCAUCCACCCACCCACUCAUCCAUCCAUCCAUCCAUGCAUUCAUUCCAAUACCUUCCAAUACCCAAAUUUUCCAACACACAAUUUCAAGUGCUAACUCUGUGCCAGGACAUGUGCAAAUAACCAGGGAGAGAGAUAUGAAUCAGGUGUGUUUGUGGGGGGUUGGGGGUGGGCAUGAACACUGAGCACUCCAGGACUGUAUGGGAAGAAGGGACAGGGCAAAAUAGGAACCAAGGAAAAUACAAGUGAUUUAGCUAACUCCGAUCAUCGGUUUCCAUGUGACAGGCAUUAUUUCACUUGGUUCCUUCAAAAUCAUUUUGAGGUUUGUAGAUGACCAUCUCCAAGUAACAGAUGACAGUUUUGGGGCUUGGAGAAGUAACAUGCAGAUAAUUUGCACAAGGUCUCACUCUUAGCAAUACUAGAGGUGGGAGUCCAACCCGGGUCUGUCUGGCUCUGGGCUCACACCAGCUGUGGUUAUUGGAGCCACUCCCAUCUGUAUCCCCAUGAGGAGUCAGGGAAGGCUGCAUGGAGGAGGCCCUGCGUUAGCUGAGG
rnacentral:lncRNA from 10 species